rnacentral:rRNA from 1 species
GGCCUCAUACAUGCAAGUCGAGCGGUCCUUCGGGACAGCGGCGAACGGGUUAGUAACGCGUGGGAACGUGCCCUUUAGUACGGAAUAGCCAUUGGAAACGAUGAUUAAUACCGUAUACGCCCCAAGGGGGAAAGAUUUAUCGCUAAAGGAUCGGCCCGCGUUAGAUUAGGUAGUUGGUAGGGUAAUGGCCUACCAAGCCGACGAUCUAUAGCUGGUUUGAGAGGAUGAUCAGCAACACUGGGACUGAGACACGGCCCAGACUUCUACGGAAGGCAGCAGUAGGGAAUCUUGGACAAUGGGCGAAAGCCUGAUCCAGCCAUGCCGCGUGAGUGAUGAAGGCCCUAGGGUUGUAAAGCUCUUUCGCCAGGGAAGAUAAUGACGGUACCUGGUAAAGAAACCC